CAAAAUCAUAAAGUGAGCUGUUUACUUGUAAGCAAGUUUAAAUUAGAUUUUAAAUCCCAGAUUUCCAGUGUGCUCUCAGACGUCUGGAGGAAUCAGAGAGCCGCUGUGAAUGUGCUAGAGCCGCUUGCCUGGUGUUUCUGUCUGCGUUUGCGCUCCUGCUCGAUCUUCUGCUGUUUCUCUAGUUUCUCUGUGAUUCGCGCCUCACGUAAGGACUGUCUCUUGUUGCGCUUGUAGCCCUUUGAGUCCAGUGAGGUUUCUAAGGCCGUGUCGCGUCUCAUGCAAACCACCACCUCCUGACGCAGCUGUGAGGGCAAACAGAUGAACAUCAGAGCGCUUUUAGCAGAGGACGAUCAACAGAUGCACUCAGGAGACUGAUGUGGAUCACAGCGUCAGUCCGGGUUCAUCACCUGUCUCUGGAAGUUGAGCAGUCGGAGCGCUUUGAGCUCAAUCGUGGCUUUGGUGCGCAGAUCUCCAGCCAGAGACCCUGGAAGAUUCUCCAGCUCCUGAAUACGGAUCUCCACCGGGUCCAGACCGCAGGGCUUCUGAACCGGCGUGAUGCGGUUCUGCUUCUGGUGCAGCGGCACCAUGGUGGCGGGUUGAGAUGGAUGGGCCAGGUGUCCCGGAGACUGGGUCUGCGGCGGCAUGACCGGAGACGCGGCGGGCGGCACAGACGGUGGUGCGGGAGAGGGACGUCCGGUGGGCUGCGGCGGCAUCAGCUUCUGAGGAGCGUUGGAGGGAGUCGCUGCGUUGACCAGAGGACCUGGCACACGGACACACAUCAUCACAGACUGCUUCACCUGAAGAUGUUCAGCCAUUGCUCGCUGCACGGAUGCGCUCUCACCUUCAGGCCAUGGUUUCGGAGGCCCGUUGUGGUUCUGGCCCUGAACACCAGCCGGGACUCCAGAAGGUCCAGGAGGAGGCAUGUUGGGUCCCACCAUCCCUGCGGAGCAACCGGCACAAACUAACCCUUUACUAAAGUCACCACAGACGAGCGCAGCGCCGCUGAAUGUUCAGCACACUUCCACUCCAGCAUUCAGAGACAAAUCUGAAUUAGGAGCAGUUACACACAGAAUUUGAAUUGUGACUUU
ensembl:lncRNA